UAGGGAAUCUUUGGCAAUGGACGGAAGUCUGACCGAGCAACGCCGCGUGAGUGAAGAAGGUUUUCGGAUCGUAAAGCUCUGUUGUAAGAGAAGAACGAGUGUGAGAGUGGAAAGUUCACACUGUGACGGUAUCUUACCAGAAAGGGACGGCUAACUACGUGCCAGCAGCCGCGGUAAUACGUAGGUCCCGAGCGUUGUCCGGAUUUAUUGGGCGUAAAGCGAGCGCAGGCGGUUAGAUAAGUCUGAAGUUAAAGGCUGUGGCUUAACCAUAGUACGCUUUGGAAACUGUUUAACUUGAGUGCAAGAGGGGAGAGUGGAAUUCCAUGUGUAGCGGUGAAAUGCGUAGAUAUAUGGAGGAACACCGGUGGCGAAAGCGGCUCUCUGGCUUGUAACUGACGCUGAGGCUCGAAAGCGUGGGGAGCAAACAGGAUUAGAUACCCUGGUAGUCCACGCCGUAAACGAUGAGUGCUAGGUGUUAGACCCUUUCCGGGGUUUAGUGCCGCAGCUAACGCAUUAAGCACUCCGCCUGGGGAGUACGACCGCAAGGUUG
rnacentral:rRNA from 1 species